UGUAAAAAAAACCCCGCAGAGCGCUUUUGCAGUAAACCCCUCCCCAAGUCACAAACCCUAACCCCCUCUCUCUUCCCUUCCGUUCUCUCUCCAUCUCUGCUCUCUCCCUCCCCGCUGUUGCCGCCGCCGCCAACUCCCCUUCUUCCUCUCUGCCGGCGCUCCUCCUGCUCUCCUCCGCCGCCACCCGCACCCGCAGGAUCCACGCCGCCCAUCUCCCCAACCCUCCUCUCUCUCUCUACUCUGGCGGCGCCUCCUCUCUUUUCUCUCUCCCGGCGCCUUUUUCCCGGUGGCAUCUCUCCUCGCCCCUCACCCCUCCGCGCGCCACGGGCCGGCGUGGAACCGGCCGACCAGCUCGCAGCGCGGCCGGUAGCGGCAGCGCGCGGGAGACAGAGGCGCGGUCGGCCGCGCCACGCUCACCUCCUAACCUACACCGCGCGGCCUCCCCUCUGCCCUCCACCGUCGGCAAAGGACAAGAAGCCGAGCUGAGCUGGUGGGCUCGCCGCUCUCGGCCGGCCGUACCUCCGUCGCCUCUCCCCGAUGGCGCUCCUCUGCUCUCCGGUCUCCACCGCCGCCUGCUCCCGCGGGAUCCAGAUCUGGCACAGGGCGCCGCUCGGAGGGAGGGGGCAUGGGCAGCAUCCUGGGCACACGACGUCAGCGAUUCCCUACUUGUCCCGCUCCUCCGACCACGACGAGCUCCAAGACCGCCUCCGUGCCGCCGCUACCACCACAGCACCCGCCACCCCCUCCGGCUACACCACGCCGCCCCCACACACCUCCUCAAUGGGCUGACGCUGGCUUCGAUGCGCGGGCGGCGCUUGAGCGCGAGCACCGCCGCAGGUCGGACGGUGCGUAGCCGCAUCUAGUGAACAUCCAGUUCCAAAAGACGGUGCGCAGCCGCAUCUGGUGAACAUCGAGUUCCAGAAGAAGCCUGUUGCGCUCUACUUGGAUUUCAAGCUCGGCUAGAGCUACACGCUGAGCAAGAUCUCCAUCUGGCCUGGGGAUGGCUUCCACAACCUCGAGCUCCGGAGGGAGAGGAUAGCUGAGAGGAUGAAGGUAUGCGUUUGUUGCAGCUCUAGAGGGAGAGGAUAGCUGACAGGAUGAAGGUGUUGCAGGAGUUGGUCCCUAACGCCAACAAGGUAGACUAAUUUUUCACCAAUCUUGCAGCUCUAGAGGGAGAGGAUAGCUGACAGGAUGAAGGUGUUGCAGGAGUUGGUCCCUAACGCCAACAAGCCUGGAGCCGCAGGCAGGCAAGGCAACAGGGGCACAAUACGUUGGGUUGGUCCUGGCUGGUGGCCAGAGGGCGGCGUUGGCAACAUGCUCCUGGUCGAGCUCGAGCUCCAGCCAACACACUGGAUAUGAGACACCUAUGAUGAGAUAGUGUACCCACAUUGUUCAAAUGUUAGCAUCUUAAUGAUGUAUGUAUUACUAUGUGCUAUGAUUUUGUGUUGAAUUUAUCAUAUACCAUGCAUAUCAUUUGUCAUUUCAUUACUUUUGGUUUACUUAUGUUUAAUUGUACA